UCUCCGUAGGUGAACCUGCGGAGGGAUCAUUACAGAGUUCAUGCCCUACCGGGUAGAUCUCCCACCCUAUGUUAUUAUUACUUUGUUGCUUUGGCGGGCCGUUAGGCUCCGGCCCGACUACCGGCCCCGGCUGGUAAGCGCCCGCCAGAGGACCCAAAACCCUGAAUAUUAGUGUCGUCUGAGUACUAUAUAAUAGUUAAAACUUUCAACAACGGAUCUCUUGGUUCUGGCAUCGAUAAGAACGCAGC
rnacentral:misc_RNA from 1 species